CAAAGAGAAAAGAAAUGGUUUAAAACACAGUGGAAAGGCUAGCAAGCAGCUACUGUAUCAGCGCACACAGCUCUGAAUGUGAUGCAGCUGAAGGCUAAAACAGGCUAAAAAGUUAGCUUUCCCCUAACCGCAGCUGUGGUCAGAAGUUUAUAUACACCCAUCAUGGUUAGUUUGAGCUUUUAUCCAUUCCACAACCAGUUUUGAGGUGUGUUUGGGGGUCACUGUCCUGUUGAAACAAACCACUGUGUCCAACUUUCUAACUAUUGAUUUGAGGUGAAGAAUUUAGAGAUAGUCCCCCUCCUUUAUUAUUCCAGCCACUUUGUGCAAUGUACCAGGACCACUAGCAGCAGAGCAGCCCCGGAGCAUGACAGCUGGUAGCCUUCUUAGAAGGUUUGGCGUGUCCAUGUGAGCAGCUGCAAACUUCAGUUGAACUUAAAGACGACAAUUUUUGAGCAGGGGCUUCUUUCUUGGUCGUCAUCCUCUCAGUUCAUGGUAAAACUGGCUUCAGUGUGGACAGUGACGCUGGUGUUCCUGCAGUUUGCUACAGGCUUGAACCUUGAUAGGUCCUGGAUUGUUCUCGAACA